GAUCCUGGCUCAGAAUCAACGCUGGCGGCGUGCCUAACACAUGCAAGUCGAACGAGAAAGCUCGUAGCAAUACGGGUGAGUACAGUGGCGACCGGGUGAGUAACACGUGGAUAACCUACCCUCGAGCGGGGAAUAACCCUGGGAAACCGGGGCUAAUACCGCAUAACACCCGAGCGACUGCGGUUGCUUGGUUGAAACCUGGAAACGGGGCUCGAUGAGGGGUCCGCGGCUGAUUAGCUAGUUGGUGAGGUAACGGCCCACCAAGGCUAUGAUCGGUAGCCGGCCUGAGAGGGCGGUCGGCCACACUGGAACUGAAACACGGUCCAGACUCCUACGGGAGGCAGCAGUGGGGAAUUUUGCGCAAUGGGGGAAACCCUGACGCAGCAACGCCGCGUGGACGAUGAAGCCCCUUGGGGUGUAAAGUCCUUUCGGCAGGGACGAAACCGAGCAAUCGGUUGACGGUACCUGUAGAAGAAGCCCCGGCUAACUCCGUGCCAGCAGCCGCGGUAAUACGGGGGGGGCAAGCGUUGUUCGGAGUUACUGGGCGUAAAGAGUACGUAGGCGGUUUGCUAAGUCUGGUGUGAAAUCUCCUGGCUUAACUGGGAGGGUGCGCUAGAUACUGGCAGGCUUGAGUAUGGGAGAGGAGAGUGGAAUUCCUGGUGUAGCGGUGAAAUGCGUAGAUAUCAGGAGGAACGCCGGUGGUGUAGACGGCUCUCUGGACCAUUACUGACGCUGAGGUACGAAAGCGUGGGUAGCAAACAG
rnacentral:rRNA from 1 species